GCUCCCCGUGCAUCCUCCUUCCCGAUGUCUCGAUCCCAUCUGCACCUCCUACACCGCGGCCCCGACCCCACCUCACCCACGGUCGCCCUGACGGGCACCUCCUAUGCCACGGCCUAGAGCCCACCACCCCAGCCCUGCCUCGCCCGCGGCCGCCCUGAUCUCGCUGGCACCUCCUACGCCAUGGCCCCAAGCUAUCCACCCCGGCCC
rnacentral:lncRNA from 1 species